AUAGGGUCAAGCGACUAAGUGCAUCUGGUGGAUGCCUUGGCGAUCACAGGCGAUGAAGGACGUGUAAGCCUGCGAAAAGCGCGGGGGAGCUGGCAAUAGAGCUUUGAUCCCGCGAUAUCCGAAUGGGGAAACCCGGCCCUUAGGGGUCAUCCCAGACUGAAUACAUAGGUCUGAGGAGGCGAACUCAGCGAACUGAAACAUCUAAGUAGCUGAAGGAAAAGAAAUCAACCGAGAUUCCGUAAGUAGUGGCGAGCGAACGCGGAACAGCCUGUAUGUGAUAGAGAUUGCGUUAGUGGAAGGUUAUGGAAAGGACCGCCAUAGUGGGUGAUAGCCCCGUACACGAAAACGCAUUCUUGGUACUAAGCAUACGAGAAGUAGGGCGGGACACGCGAAAUCCUGUCUGAAGAUGGGGGGACCAUCCUCCAAGGCUAAAUACUCGUGAUCGACCGAUAGUGAACCAGUACCGUGAGGGAAAGGCGAAAAGAACCCCGGGAGGGGAGUGAAAUAGAACCUGAAACCGGAUGCAUACAAACAGUGGGAGCGGACGUGUUCCGUGACUGCGUACCUUUUGUAUAAUGGGUCAGCGACUUACGUUCAGUAGCGAGCUUAACCGAAUAGGGGAGGCGUAGGGAAACCGAGUCCGAAUAGGGCGCUUUAGUUGCUGGGCGUAGACCCGAAACCGAGUGAUCUAUCCAUGGCCAGGAUGAAGGUGCGGUAACACGCACUGGAGGUCCGAACCCACUAGUGUUGCAAAACUAGGGGAUGAGCUGUGGAUAGGGGUGAAAGGCUAAACAAACUCGGAGAUAGCUGGUUCUCCCCGAAAACUAUUUAGGUAGUGCCUCAUGUAUCACUUCCGGGGGUAAAGCACUGUUAUGGCUAGGGGGUCAUUGCGAUUUACCAAACCAUGGCAAACUCUGAAUACCGGAAAGUGCGAGCAUGGGAGACAGACGGUGGGUGCUAACGUCCAUCGUCAAGAGGGAAACAACCCAGACCGCCAGCUAAGGUCCCAAAUGAUCAGUUAAGUGGUAAACGAAGUGGGAAGGCCUAGACAGCCAGGAUGUUGGCUUAGAAGCAGCCAUCAUUUAAAGAAAGCGUAAUAGCUCACUGGUCGAGUCGUCCUGCGCGGAAGAUGUAACGGGGCUCAAACUGAUAACCGAAGCUGCGGAUGCGUCGGCUUCACCUUAGCUUGUUGCAAGCUUGUCAUCGCGAAGCGAUGACAAAGCCCACCCCAAUGGUCGCCAGGCCAUGAGGGAAACAAGCAGGCUAAGGGAAGCCGAUGCGUGGUAGGGGAGCGUUCUGUAGGUCUGUGAAGGUGUCUCGUAAGGGAUGCUGGAGAUAUCAGAAGUGCGAAUGCUGACAUGAGUAGCGAUAAAGCGGGUGAAAAGCCCGCUCGCCGAAAGCCCAAGGUUUCCUACGCAACGUUCAUCGGCGUAGGGUGAGUCGGCCCCUAAGGCGAGGCUGAAAAGCGUAGUCGAUGGGAAACGGGUUAAAAUUCCCAUACUUUUGUGUAGUGCGAUGUGGGGACGGAGAAGGUUAGGUCAUCAGACUGUUGGAAUAGUCUGUUUAAGCCGGUAGGCUGGGGUGGUAGGCAAAUCCGCCGCCCCUUAAGGCCGAGACGUGAUGACGAGGGUCUACGGACCUGAAGUGACUGAUACCACGCUUCCAGGAAAAGCCACUAAGCUUCAGCUACACAAGAACCGUACCGCAAACCGACACAGGUGGGCAGGAUGAGAAUUCUAAGGCGCUUGAGAGAACUCAGGAGAAGGAACUCGGCAAAUUGAUACCGUAACUUCGGGAGAAGGUAUGCCUCUUAGAGUGUAGGACUUCGCGUUCGAAGCUUUGAGAGGUCGCAGAGAAUCGGUGGCUGCGACUGUUUAACAAAAACACAGCACUGUGCCAACACGAAAGUGGACGUAUACGGUGUGACGCCUGCCCGGUGCCGGAAGGUUAAGUGAUGGGGUGCAAGCUCUUGAUCGAAGCCCCGGUAAACGGCGGCCGUAACUAUAACGGUCCUAAGGUAGCGAAAUUCCUUGUCGGGUAAGUUCCGACCCGCACGAAUGGCGUAACGAUGGCCACACUGUCUCCUCCUGAGACUCAGCGAAGUUGAAGUGUUUGUGAAGAUGCAAUCUCCCCGCUGCUAGACGGAAAGACCCCGUGAACCUUUACUGUAGCUUUGCAUUGGACUUUGAAGUGGUUUGUGUAGGAUAGGUGGGAGGCUAAGAAGCCAGGACGCUAGUUCUGGUGGAGCCGACCUUGAAAUACCACCCUGACCCCUUUGAGGUUCUAACCUUGGUCCGUGAUCCGGAUUGGGGACAGUGCAUGGUAGGCAGUUUGACUGGGGCGGUCUCCUCCCAAAGUGUAACGGAGGAGUUCGAAGGUUACCUAGGUACGGUCGGAAAUCGUGCUGAUAGUGCAAUGGCAAAAGGUAGCUUAACUGCGAGACCGACAAGUCGAGCAGGUGCGAAAGCAGGACAUAGUGAUCCGGUGGUUCUGAAUGGAAGGGCCAUCGCUCAACGGAUAAAAGGUACUCCGGGGAUAACAGGCUGAUACCGCCCAAGAGUUCACAUCGACGGCGGUGUUUGGCACCUCGAUGUCGGCUCAUCACAUCCUGGGGCUGUAGCCGGUCCCAAGGGUAUGGCUGUUCGCCAUUUAAAGUGGUACGUGAGCUGGGUUCAAAACGUCGUGAGACAGUUUGGUCCCUAUCUGCAGUGGGCGUUGGAAGUUUGACGGGGGCUGCUCCUAGUACGAGAGGACCGGAGUGGACGCACCUCUGGUGUACCGGUUGUGACGCCAGUCGCAUCGCCGGGUAGCUAAGUGCGGAAGAGAUAACCGCUGAAAGCAUCUAAGCGGGAAACUUGCCUGAAGAUGAGACUUCCCUGGAGGCUUGACCUCCCUGAAGAGUCGUUCGAGACCAGGACGUUGAUAGGUCGGGUGUGGAAGCGCUGUGAGGCGUGAAGCUAACCGAUACUAAUUGCUCGUGAGGCUUGAUCCUAU
rnacentral:rRNA from 1 species